rnacentral:rRNA from 1 species
UAGGGAAUCUUCCGCAAUGGGCGAAAGCCUGACGGAGCAACGCCGCGUGAGUGAAGAAGGUCUUCGGAUCGUAAAACUCUGUUAUUAGGGAAGAACAAAUGUGUAAGUAACUAUGCACGUCUUGACGGUACCUAAUCAGAAAGCCACGGCUAACUACGUGCCAGCAGCCGCGGUAAUACGUAGGUGGCAAGCGUUAUCCGGAAUUAUUGGGCGUAAAGCGUGCGUAGGCGGUUUUUUAAGUCUGAUGUGAAAGCCCACGGCUCAACCGUGGAGGGUCAUUGGAAACUGGAAAACUUGAGUGCAGAAGAGGAAAGUGGAAUUCCAUGUGUAGCGGUGAAAUGCGCAGAGAUAUGGAGGAACACCAGUGGCGAAGGCGACUUUCUGGUCUGUAACUGACGCUGAUGUGCGAAAGCGUGGGGAUCAAACAGG